CCUACGGGAGGCAGCAGUGGGGAAUAUUGCGCAAUGGGCGAAAGCCUGACGCAGCGACGCCGCGUGAGGGAUGAAGGUCUUCGGAUCGUAAACCUCUGUCAGCAGGGAAGAACGGUCACUGUGCUAAUCAGCAGUGAAUUGACGGGACCUGCAAAGGAAGCACCGGCUAACUCCGUGCCCGCAGCCGCCUUAAUACGGAGGGUGCGAGCGUUAAUCGGAAUUACUGGGCGUAAAGCGCUCGUAGGCGGUAUGUCAAGUCAAGGGUGAAAUCCCCGCGCUCAACGUGGGAACUGCCUUUGAAACUGGCAAACUGGAGUGUGUGAGAGGAUAGUGGAAUGCCAGGUGUAGGAGUGAAAUCCGUAGAUAUCUGGAGGAACAUCAGUGGCGAAGGCGACUAUCUGGCACAUAACUGACGCUGAGGAGCGAAAGCGUGGGUAGCAAACAGGAUUAGAUACCCUAGUAGUC
rnacentral:rRNA from 1 species